AAGAACUAACCGAUCGCUCUGGUGUUUGCUCUUUCGGCGGAAGUGAUAGAGUGAAAGAACUUGUCCUGGACAACAGUCGGUCAAAUGAAGGCAAACUCGAAGGCCUCACAGAUGAAUUUGAAGAACUGGAAUUCUUAAGUACAAUCAACGUAGGCCUCACCUCAAUCGCAAACUUACCAAAGUUAAACAAACUUAAGAAGCUUGAACUAAGCGAUAACAGAGUCUCAGGGGGCCUGGAAGUAUUGGCAGAAAAGUGUCCGAACCUCACGCAUCUAAAUUUAAGUGGCAACAAAAUUAAAGACCUCAGCACAAUAGAGCCACUGAAAAAGUUAGAAAACCUCAAGAGCUUAGACCUUUUCAAUUGCGAGGUAACCAACCUGAAUGACUACCGAGAAAAUGUGUUCAAGCUCCUCCCGCAACUCACAUAUCUCGACGGCUAUGACCGGGACGACAAGGAGGCCCCUGACUCGGAUGCUGAGGGCUAUGUGGAGGGCCUGGAUGAUGAGGAGGAGGAUGAGGACGAGGAGGAGUACGAUGAAGAUGCUCAGGUAGUGGAAGACGAGGAGGACGAGGAUGAGGAGGAGGAAGGUGAAGAGGAGGACGUGAGUGGAGAGGAGGAGGAGGAUGAAGAAGGUUAUAACGAUGGAGAGGUAGAUGACGAGGAAGAUGAAGAAGAGCUUGGUGAAGAAGAAAGGGGUCAGAAGCGAAAACGAGAACCUGAAGAUGAGGGAGAAGAUGAUGACUAAGUGGAAUAACCUAUUUUGAAAAAUUCCUAUUGUGAUUUGACUGUUUUUACCCAUAUCCCCUCCCCCUCCUCCAAUCCUGCCCCCUGAAACUUAUUUUUUUCUGAUUGUAACGUUGCUGUGGGAACGAGAGGGGAAAAGUGUACUGGGGGUUGUGGGGGAGGGAGGGCGGGUGGGGGUGGAAUAAAAUACUAUUUUUACUGCCACUCUUUAUUUUUUCCCCCUACUUUUUCUUUGUGUCCGGUUUUUGUCCCUGGAAAUGCAAUAGCUAAGUACACACUAAGUGAGCAUUUGUUCCUGACUCUCAAAGAGGAUGGUUUGGAGUUCUCUUACGUU
rnacentral:sRNA from 1 species